GAAAAAUUAGUUAAAUUAUAACAUUAGUAUGUCAAACUAAAAUUAUCAAAUUAUUGAUAUUUUUUA
rnacentral:tRNA from 1 species